rnacentral:rRNA from 1 species
GAUGAACGCUGGCGGCGUGCCUAAUACAUGCAAGUCGAGCGAACGGACGAGAAGCUUGCUUCUCUGAUGUUAGCGGCGGACGGGUGAGUAACACGUGGAUAACCUACCUAUAAGACUGGGAUAACUUCGGGAAACCGGAGCUAAUACCGGAUAAUAUUUUGAACCGCAUGGUUCAAAAGUGAAAGACGGUCUUGCUGUCACUUAUAGAUGGAUCCGCGCUGCAUUAGCUAGUUGGUAAGGUAACGGCUUACCAAGGCAACGAUGCAUAGCCGACCUGAGAGGGUGAUCGGCCACACUGGAACUGAGACACGGUCCAGACUCCUACGGGAGGCAGCAGUAGGGAAUCUUCCGCAAUGGGCGAAAGCCUGACGGAGCAACGCCGCGUGAGUGAUGAAGGUCUUCGGAUCGUAAAACUCUGUUAUUAGGGAAGAACAUAUGUGUAAGUAACUGUGCACAUCUUGACGGUACCUAAUCAGAAAGCCACGGCUAACUACGUGCCAGCAGCCGCGGUAAUACGUAAGUGGCAAGCGUUAUCCGGAAUUAUUGGGCGUAAAGCGCGCGUAGGCGGUUUUUUAGUCUGAUGUGAAAGCCCACGGCUCAACCGUGGAGGGUCAUUGGAAACUGGAAAACUUGAGUGCAGAAGAGGAAAGUGGAAUUCCAUGUGUAGCGGUGAAAUGCGCAGAGAUAUGGAGGAACACCAGUGGCGAAGGCGACUUUCUGGUCUGUAACUGACGCUGAUGUGCGAAAGCGUGGGGAUCAAACAGGAUUAGAUACCCUGGUAGUCCACGCCGUAAACGAUGAGUGCUAAGUGUUAGGGGGUUUCCGCCCCUUAGUGCUGCAGCUAACGCAUUAAGCACUCCGCCUGGGGAGUACGACCGCAAGGUUGAAACUCAAAGGAAUUGACGGGGACCCGCACAAGCGGUGGAGCAUGUGGUUUAAUUCGAAGCAACGCGAAGAACCUUACCAAAUCUUGACAUCCUUUGACAACUCUAGAGAUAGAGCUUUCCCCUUCGGGGGACAAAGUGACAGGUGGUGCAUGGUUGUCGUCAGCUCGUGUCGUGAGAUGUUGGGUUAAGUCCCGCAACGAGCGCAACCCUUAAGCUUAGUUGCCAUCAUUAAGUUGGGCACUCUAAGUUGACUGCCGGUGACAAACCGGAGGAAGGUGGGGAUGACGUCAAAUCAUCAUGCCCCUUAUGAUUUGGGCUACACACGUGCUACAAUGGACAAUACAAAGGGCAGCGAAACCGCGAGGUCAAGCAAAUCCCAUAAAGUUGUUCUCAGUUCGGAUUGUAGUCUGCAACUCGACUACAUGAAGCUGGAAUCGCUAGUAAUCGUAGAUCAGCACGCUACGGUGAAUACGUUCCCGGGUCU